GACGAGGAGCGCGGGCGUUAUUCGUUAUGAUUGGGUGUAAAGGGUACGUAGGCGGCGCUUGCGGUGGAAGUUAAAAUCGUAGAGGAUCCCUAUGCGGAACUUCCCCUAAAUUGUGCUAGAGUUGAAGGGUGGUCGGGACAAUUUCUCGUGUACGGAGUCCAAUCUUGCUAGAUGAGAAGGAAUGGCGGCUGGCGAAGGCGCCCCUCUAUCUUCAACUGACGCUCAGGUACGGAAGCCUGGGGAGCAAACGGG
rnacentral:misc_RNA from 1 species